CGCGUAGGCGGCUUUAUAAGUCAGAUGUGAAAGCCCACGGCUUAACUGUGGAAGUGCAUUUGAAACUGUGAAGCUUGAGUAUCGGAGGGGAGUGUGGAAUUCCCGGUGUAGAGGUGAAAUUCGUAGAGAUCGGGAGGAACACCGGUGGCGAAGGCGACACUCUGGACGAAUACUGACGCUGAGGCGCGAAAGCGUGGGGAGCAAACA
rnacentral:rRNA from 1 species